rnacentral:lncRNA from 1 species
CAGAAUUCCUUAUCCGGAUUUCUGGUAUGCAGACUGUAAUAUAGAUUCAUUCUUUUCCUCGAUUCGGGAUUAAAAUUGGUGACUUGGGACACCCUAAAUCUCCCAAGUGGCGACUCUGAAAUAAUUAAACAAUCCCGUUUCGACUGUCCUUUAAUUGGAAAAAACUCCUUGUACCCUCGCGGAGGCGGAAAAAGGAGGUGUGACAGGUACGUGAGUUAUGGAAUUUAUUUGAAUAAAUCGCGAUGUCGCGAACUCGUUGCUUUGUACAUAUGGAAAAUCGUGUCACAUGAAACGCACCCGCGACUUACAACACGUUCAUCAUUGACUCAGGAACUGCAACGAAAGAUCGAUAAUGGAAACUAAGUAGUGGACUAAUCUGAAUAUUAGCACAACCAAGAAACUUUAUACUUAAAUUAUGUAAAUCUGAAUCACACAUUUCAAUGAUAAAGAAACAAAUACAUCAAGAUCUAUUUGUCUUUAUGGUAAGUCCUAAAAUUCCAAGUAGCAAAUUUCAUUUGUACUGAAGUUUAUUGCGUACUGUCGUUUGAGGAUUUUUGGGAUUCUACCACAAUUUUGAGCAUAAUCUCCUAAUUUGUAACAUUUCAAAAUGGAGAAGCGCAACAACUAGUAAUAUACAUUGUAGUUUCAAAAUAUGCAAAGUAUAAUGACAAUUUCGUUUACUUACAUUACUUCAACAUUCAGUCGAUUACUCUAAGACACACAUCUGAGCUUUAACCCAAUGUACUGAUAUUUAGAUGAGAAAUUUUAACUUAUAACUUUAAUGGAACCUUGAGUUUUUCACUAGAUGAACCACAUAAUAUUUGUUCUGGCAAUUCUAGCAAAAUUUAAACCCAAACAUGUUAGAAGCAGUAGGCCGGUAUCUCAAUAUUCAUCCAACACAUGACACCAAAAUCACAAGCAAUAGAGAAAUAGAGAAGAAAUGAACCUGAAAUUAGAAAAAUAAGUCAACUGAUUCAGAUAUUGACUUCAAAAUUCAAGCGAAACAACAUCGGCAAAGUCGAGCAUGAAUCACGAGCAAAAUCGAAACCUCGAACGGAGACCUUAAUCGACAACUUUAAUUCAACAUCAACUCCAUCCAAUUCUUUUUGUAUUUUUGGAUUCGAACUCAAAUCAGGCUAGCAGAAGCUAUUUUCUUUAGAUUAACCAAACGGGUUUUUUUAAAGAGAAAUGAGAGCUCCUUCUCUUUUGUUUUAGGUGUAUCGUUCUUCUUUUAGGGAAUUUGUGGGGCUGCUGACUUCUAGCUUAGGGAAUUUUCUUGGUUGUAGGUCUUUUUUGGUUUUUUGCUAAGUCUCCAAAAUGAAGAAGAACGACGGAUCUCAGUUCUUUAGCUCUAGGGCAUCGUUAGUCUAGGGUCUGAUUUUC